UUCCGUUAAUUUUUCUUAAAACUAGACUCAUAUACCUUUCUACCAUAAAAUUUUCAGAAUUUUUGGUUUAGCCAAUUAGUACAGUUUAUUCCUCAAAGUUACCCCUGAUCUGCUGUUUGACAGUUUCGACCUUUCUUUACUAAACUUUAAUUAUCUCAUAGCACAGGACUUGGAUGAUGUUCCCGUUUAUUUCUCUUGAAAAUAAACUCAUUAAAGAUUCUAAGAAUAUAAAUUAUAGCCUGUAAUUAUUUUUAUACAAUUUUUAAUGAUUUUCCCAAUUCAGAAUAGGGAAUUCCAAAAUCAAUCUGACAUUGUCUAACAAAAAUUCAAAUUCAUACCAAAUUAGUCAAAUCCUAUUUUAUACCAUAGCCAAAUCUAAAUUUAUUUAUUUCAUCCUUACAUUUACAAUUUCAAAAUGACAUACACAUAAGACAUCCUAAGUACAUGCCAUUACCAAUAAUUAACACACUUUACCUUAAUGAAUUCGGGAUCGGACUGGGAUGCUGAUUCAACGUACUAUCUUUACUUAACCUGCGCACGGAAACAAACCGUACGCUGAGUAUGGUAUACUCAGUGAUAUUUCUAUAAUCCGAACACUUGGUAAUAUAGCAAUUAAACUUAAAAUCACAAUGAUAAAUAUAACCAUUCAUUUAUUUAUUUUAUAGAUAAGUUUCAUUUACUUACCAUAAAAAUUCUAUACAAGCCAUAUAACAAACACAACAACAUAUUUGCUCAAUUCUUUUCAUUUGCUUACUGUAUAAAUUCUUUCAAUAUAUUCACAAUUCACUUGUAUUCACACUUUACUUCUUAACAAUAUACCAUUUUAAUUCAUUCUAACAUCAAUCAUCAUCCAUUUGAACUUCACUCAUUUCAUGAACCUUUUGGUUCAUGUUUUCAAUCUCAUAUCUCAAUUUCAAUUCUCAAUUCAAUUUCUCAUUUCAUUCCAAUAGUUCAAUCAAUCAAAUUCACUUGAUUUAUCUUUUCACUUAUUUACCCCUAUUAAUAAACCCAGACUUUGACGGAUACACGGAUUCCAACCCAAACACACCAGUACGGCACAUUGUGCCUAAAACGGUACAUAGUACCUGAUCAGUAUACGACACAUAAAGUGCCUAAAAUGACACACGAGGUGCCUGAUACGACACACGAGGUGCCUGAAAUACGAUACAUAAAGUGCCUAAUCGGUAAAGCCGGCAAAUCCCGUACACUUUCAGAUCCUAUGGCAUGCCAAUUAUAUCCGACUUAGCCCGACUAGUUAAUAGGGUAUUUCAUUCACUUUCUCAAUUUAAUAAUUCUUUCAUCAAUAUCUCAUUCAGAUAAUUACAUAUAUUUAUCCAUUUUCACAAUUCAUACAAUUUCAUUCAAUUUAACAAUAUAUUUCAAUUAUUCACAUUAAUUCAUAAUUCAGUACAAUUCAAUUCAUUUUUCAAUAUCAAAUAUUCAAAUUUCUACAUAAAUCAUAUAUAUUAUAUAAUUCAAUCAAUAUAAAUUCAAUUAAAAUAAUUUCAAUCAAUAUAAAUUCAAUAAAACAGAUAUUCAUAAAUCAAUUCAAUAUAAAUUUAUCACACACUAAAUCAAUUCAUUUCAAUUAUAAAGACACAAUACAAAUAAUUCCCAUCUUAAUUAUUUAUCAUAAUAUUUAUCCAAAAUUCAAUUAUCAUAAUUGCAUAAUAUCUCAUUCACACACACACACACACACACAUACACACACACACACAUAUAUAUAUUUAUAUAUUUAUAAUAUAUAAUUCAAUUUAAUUCGAUCAAAAUAAAUUCAUCACAUACCAAAUUAAUCCAUUUCCAUUAUAAACACAAUAAUUCUCACUUCAACAUUUAUUAAAUGCAUUGAAUAAAAAAAAUAUAACAAUUAAUAACUAGGUUCAGAUUAUAGAAAUACAAACCGUAUUUUCUCGAGCUAACUUCCUUUGUCUUUGCCAUUUUUUUCCUUGCUUAGCCGAGGUUUCCCGAGACAACAUUAGCUACGGGAAUUAAAACAAUUCAUAUUCGUUAAUUCACUACUAAUUUAUAUCUAAUUAAUACAAUUUUUAUUCAAUUUCUACUUUAAUUUCAAUUUAAUCUUAACUAGAUUCACUUACUUUUUCUAUCUCAAUUCAUACUUCAUUUCUAUUCAAAUUUUGUCCAAACUCAUACUUAACUAUUAAAUUUCCAGCAUAUUUUCAUAAUUUCAAAUUUAUUUCCAUUUAAUCCCUAAAACUCAAAACUUAUAGCUUAGUUUACGAUUCAAUCUUUUAUUCAAUUCCAAUCAAAAUUUCUAUCAAAUAAACCCCCAAUUCCAUCAUUUUAUUCAACAUGAACCAUACUUAGAAAUCUAAUGACUUUCAAAAUUUCUACUUAAAACAAGUAGUAUUUAUCUCUAGGAUUCCAAAAACUCAAAAAUCAUAAGAAAAUGGGCUAAAUUGACUUACCAAAUUAACUUGGAACCUUUAAAACCUUAUUUUUCCCUUUUUCUUUUCUUCCUUUCUCCCUUCUCUGUUUCGUCCCCUGCUAUUCUGUUUCUUUCCUCCUUUUAUUCUUUUGUUUCUUUCUUU
rnacentral:lncRNA from 1 species